rnacentral:rRNA from 1 species
AGCGCAGGCGGGAUAGCAAGUCAGCUGUGAAAACUAUGGGCUCAACCCAUAAACUGCAGUUGAAACUGUUAUUCUUGAGUGGAGUAGAGGCAAGCGGAAUUCCGAGUGUAGCGGUGAAAUGCGUAGAUAUUCGGAGGAACACCAGUGGCGAAGGCGGCUUGCUGGGCUCUAACUGACGCUGAGGCUCGAAAGGUGUGGGAGCAAACA